CACCCAGCAGCAACAGCAGUUACCUUUAGCAAAGGGUUGAAGACUGAAAACUAUUUCUUAAAAACAUUUAGAUUUAUUAUAUAUCUUCCAAAGUGGUUAUUGAAAAAAUUUUUUUCUAACAUGAUUGACUUUUAAAGUUACACGAACAAUAGAAUGAAAAGAAUGAAUUUGGACUAAUUGGAUCAGCACAAUGAUAAAAAGUACAACUCUAAGAUAUUAAAAUACUUUACCCACACUGGCACUGGUGGCCCUCAGUGUAACAACACUGACUGGAUUGUGACACUGUUCAACAAGAUAGUGAACCCGGGGAGAACAGGUCUGGGUUGAAAGAAGAAGAGUUUGGUUUUAGACAUGUUGAUCCGGAGAAACUUCUGGAACAGCCAAAUGAUGAUGCCCAUGGGAUCUACGGUUCUGGAAUUUAGAAGGAGAUCCAGACUAUGAUUGCUGUUGUUAGUUGCUGUCGAGCCGGCUCUGACUCGUGGUGACCCGAUGUACAACAGAAUGAAAUGUUGCCUGGUCCUGUGCCAUCUUUAUAAUUGUACAUAGGGUUUUCACUGGCAAAUUUUGGGGAGUAGAUCACUGGGCUUUUCUUCCUAGUCUGUCUUAGUCUGGAAGCUGCACUGAAACCCGUCCCUCAUGGGUGACCCUGCUAGUAUGUGAAAUACUGGUGGCAUAGCUCCCAGUCUCAUAACAACAUGCAUAUAGAUGGUGAUUGAAUCUUUUGGAAAGGAAGAGAUCAAUGGGAGAGUGUGUACAAGAAGAGAAGAAAGUUGGUUAACAAAACCAUUAGAUGAAAUUAAACUAUGAAAAAGGAUGAGCCAGCAAAAGAGACUGUAAAGAAAUAGCCAGAGAAGAAAAGUAAACACCAGAACAAUGAUUUAAAAGGAAAUUUUCUUGUUUUUAUUUUUUGCAAGGAAGAUAAGGUUAGCUGGAGUUUUUGACAGUAGCAAAAGUAGCUGUUUGUGGAAGAUGGUAGGGGUGGGUGUGAGACUGCAGGGGUGAGCAGGGAGCGGGUGGUGAGGCCAGGGAGCCAAUGAUUGGGUAUAACUUUUUAAAGACACUUGAGUUGUGAAGGGCAGUGGGUGAAGGAGGGACUUUUUUUUCAAGAUGGGGAUUAUAGCAUGUUUAAAUGCCAGGGAUGGCAAGAAGCCAGUAGAGAGGGAGAGGCUGAAGAUAGGAAGCAAUUGGGACAAACAACAGAUUGAGGUGGCAGAGAAUGUCAGAAAGGAUGCGAUCAGAGGGCAGUAAAAUUUAUGACGCAUUGAAGGUCUCACCCUCUUCUUUCUACAUACGGUGAGAUUAUUGAACACAGAAAACAGUGAGGAAGAGAGAGCUAACGGUGGAACAAAAUGUGGUCUCAACACAACCCUGUACAGCUACAAAAGGUCUACAAAAGGACACGUCAGUCUCACGGGUUCAGUGGUAGACUUCCUGCCUUCCAUGUGGGAGACCUGGGUUCGUUCUUGGCCAGUGCACUUCAUGGCUCCGCCACCUGUGUGUAAUUGGAGGCUAUGAUGCUGAACAGGUUUCUGUGGAGCUUCCAGACUAAGACGGACUAGGAAGAAAGGCCUGAUGACCAACUUCUGAAAAUCAGCCAAUGAAAACCUCAUGGAUCACAACAGUGCUAUCUGGAACCUGUAAGGGGAUGGUGCAGGACUGGGCGGCAUUUCAUUCCACCGUUGUGCUUGGAGUCGCCAUGAAUCGGGGGCCGAUACCACGACUGCUAGGGACAAAAACAACAACAUACUGUUCCGUUUGACAUUGCUAGUAUUUUGUUUGAGAUUUCUGCAUCUUUAUUUAUGAAUUAAAAAGGCCUAAAAGUUACCCUUCUCUUAAUGUUUGGUAUUAUGUUUAUGCUCAAUGUGUAAAAUGACUUGGGCGCAUUCUCCCUUUUUUCUUUAUUUCCUGAAAGAAAUUCUCUAAGACAGAUGAUCUUUCCCUUUACAAGUUUGGUAGAAUUUUUGUGUAAAGCCAUCUGAGCCUGGUGUUUUCAUUGUGAGAAUAUUUUAAAAUAUUGCUUCAAUUUCUUUAAUAGUUAUAGUACUCUUCAGGCUUUGUAUUUCUUCUUAAAACAGUCUUGGAAACUGGUGUUUUUCUAGCUCUCAACCUCCUGUAUUUCUGCAUCUAUUUCUAAAUGCCUUUUCAGACAAAUUUCUUUCUGUCUCCAUUUUUUCAAUUAACAUUUACUUCUCAACACACUAAAAUCUGGCUUCUGCUUCCCCCGAAGCUGUUUUGAUAAGGUCACUAAUGGAUCUCCAUGAUGCUGACUCAAAAGGAGUCUUUUUAGUUCUUUUUCUUUUUGACCUUUAUACUUUAUUUUGAGAGUGUUUACCAGUUACUCUUUCCUGAAGCUUUCUUCUUCCUUGGCUUCUGUGACAGAUUCUUCUCUGAUCUCCUCCUGUCUCUCUGAAGGGAUUCUAAGAAGUCAUAAUUUCCUUCUUCUCUCUCGUCUACCUUGUGAAUCUUGACAUUUUCAGGUUUUCAUUCUCAGUUCACUGCUCUUUUCAAUCUAUAUACUCUCUUAUGAUUUAAACUCCACCUGGGGGUAGGUCCAGGCUUUGUGAGGUCUGAUGCUUCUAUAACUUUGGGGUCUCCCUUUAAAAAAAAAAAAAUACAAAAUUAGGUACCAAAAACCCAAAACCAGACUCAUUGCCAUCAAGUCGAUUCUGACUCAUAGUGACAUAAAGGACAGAGUAGAACUGCCCCAUAGGGUUUCUAAGGAGCACCUGGUGAAUUCGAACUGCUGCCCUUUUGGUUAGCUGCUAUAGCUUGUAACGACUAUGCCAUCAGAGUUUCCAAAAUUAGAGACAGGGCCUCAUUAAUGUUGCAAUAAAUGUGCCUCUGCUGCAUCUCUGGAUAGAUGACUUCUAAACUGGUAUUCUUCUUUGACCUCUUUCCUAAACUCAGGUUCGUAUAAAUUAUAUUACAUAUUGGGUAUAUGGAAACCCUGGUGGUGUAGUGAUUAAGUGCUACGGCUGCUAACCAAAGGAUCAGCAGUUCGAAUCCACCAGGUGCUCCUUGGAAACUCUAUGGGGCAGUUCUACUCUGUCCUAUAGGGUCGCUAUGAGUCGGAAUCGACUCCACGGCACUGGGUUUGGUUUUUGGUUUUAUUGGGUAUAUAUUGGUUAGGUCCCACAGUUUUAAAAUAUGGCCCCCAAAUUAUUGAGAAAUGGAGUCUAUGACCCUCUCUUUGAACCUGUGCUUUGUGACUACUUGAUCAGUAGCCUAUAGCAGAAGUGACUGGGUGCUAAUUUCUAGGCCCAAACCCUUAAGAAGCUUCCACUUUCUGUGUUUUGGACAUUUGCUCUUGGAAGCUUGACACCUGCUGUGAAAAAGUCAAGCAACCACAUGGAAAGCCCACAGAUGGGUGUUCUGGCUGAUAGCCCUGGCAGAGGACCUAGUGGGCAGCCAGCACCAACUUGCCAGCCAUGUGAGUGAGCCAUCUUUGAAGUGGGUCCUCUAGCCACAGUCACGCUGCCCUAGUUGACACCACGUGGAGCAGAGGUGAAACUUGCCCGUUGAAGUCAGCCCGAAGUGCAGACUGUGAGCUAAAUAAGUGAUUGUUAUUUUAAAUUCCUGAGAUUUAGGAUGGCUUGUUUCACACUCCAAUAGAUAUAACCGAAACACAUAGAUACUGCAGCUUGUUCCUUCCCCUGGAUUCCCAAUCAUAAUUAAUGACACUACCAAUGGCACUCUCACCCAUACAUUAUAUGCGCGUUCAUUCCCAUUUUUCCCUAUUCCCUCAUCCCCCACAUCCAAUUCAUCACUAAAUUAUAUAGUUUCAGAUUUGGCCUCUUAGGUAUUUCUUUCAUCUAUCUCUUCCCUAUUCCUUCGUUAGUAAGGCCUUCCAUACCCCUUGCCUGUGGCUUUGUAGGAGAUCCUAAUGUAUUUUUCAGUGUCCAUCUUUGUCCUGCCCCAAAUCCAUUUCCCACACUACGACAUUGCUCAUGAAACAACCAUGCUGCUUCCCCGUUUAAAUGCUUUUGAAUAAGUAAACAUAAAAUAAAAAUUUAAUACAAUUAAAACAUUUCUGAAUUAAAGACCUGAGCUGCAGAUUUAAAAAUUGCAACACUAACACAUGAAUAUAUUCUUAAAAUAUUCCCUACAGGCAUCCUAACCUCCAUAUUGCCCUCACCCCUCUUACCCCCCAUCAAACAAUCACCACAUUUUACCUACGAUGAAAUAAAAAGCAAACUGCUUUUGAUUUUCCAAUCUGCAAGUGAUAAAUAUAAAAAAACAAACAAACAAUAGAACAGUGUCUGUGGGGCUUGAGGGAGGACAGCUGCUAGCCAAAAUUUUAACACCCAGCCAAGUUGUCAUUUUUGAGAGAAAUAGAAAUGCAAGAACUCAAAAAAGAAUUUCGCCCACAUACGCUUCCUAGAAAUAAAAAUGAUUUUAAGUCUUACCUGUAGUCUAUCUUGUCCUAUUUACAAUGAAACUUUCCAUGCCUAGUUAUGUCAUGAGAUUGGAAAAUACUGUAGUAGCUAUUACAAGACUGGAGCAGUGGUUAAACGCUCAGCUGUUAACCGAAAGAUCAGUGGUUCCAAUCCACCAGCCGCUCCUUGGGCGAAAGAUGUGGCAGCCUGCUUCUGUCAAGAUUUACAGCCUUGGAAACUCUGUGGAGUAGUUCUACUCUGUCUUAUAGGGUCGUUAUGAGUAGGAAUCGACUCAACAGCAAUAGAUUAUUUACACGAUUGCAAUGAUAAAUACAGUAGCGUUAGUCAAUGCUUUUCGAAUAUAUCAAAAUAGCUCAGCAAAGUUAUGGGAUAAACUGGCUUCUAAAGACUAGUUGUGGGGACUAACUGCCAUUUCAAAAUCAUGUUUCAGUGAAAAAAAUCGUUUUCAGCUUCCAUGCCUGUAACUUAAACAAUUUUUGGAAUGUAACCUGAGGUGUCUGAAUUAAUUUGUCUGUCUGUCACACAAAUGAUAGCUUGAAUUUGAACAUUUUACAGCCAAACUGCAUACUCUUGAUGUUUAAAAGAUUCGCAUAUUUAUGAGAGUGCUAAACAAUGCUUUCCUGAAUAACAUUCCUGUUAUGUUUUGCUAUUUCUUUAGAUCGGUGAAUGUUUGGAGACCGGAUUCUGAGCCUGUCUCAAAAAUGCGACACCCAAGAAUUGGCUUCAGUUUGACAUCAAUCAGCAUUGCUUUUUAGUUUUCAGGUUGCCUUGGGUCUGAAUUAUUACAGCAAGUGACUCCCCUAAAUCAACAGGACACAGGUCUUGGGAUUUAGAAAAGAAUAAUAUUAAUACUUCAAUAUUUAAUUAGAAAUUUUAAUACUUGGAGUACAUAAUAAGAAGAAUGUAUGGUACCAAUGACCAGGCAACAUUUCAUUCUGUUGUGUAUACGGUCGCCAUGAGUUGGACCUGACUCAAUGGUAACUAAUAACAACAGUAACAUGGCAUUAAUAUCUUUUCCAGAAUCACAUUUAAACUGUAGGGAUGUUCAGGUAUAACACGUUCAGAGUAACUUGUAAGUAAUGGCAGCGCUGAGACAGUUUUUGUUUAGGGUUGAUUUUAGCCACAUUUUUUUUUCACACGUUGUUACCACGGAAGUGGUUAUGCUGCAGUGUAAGUAUGUGUUGCUGGGUGGUAGGUGACAGAAUAUUGUAGGUGACAUAAUUCUAAUCCAAAUUUCGCAUUCAAAAUGGUUAUUUUCACCCAGAAAUGAUUUUGUUGGGUAGCCUGGUAACAAGUUUAACAGGCAGGAGCAAAUGAAGGUAGGUAUCUUCAACCCUGUGAUAAGGAGUGUGGUAUGUAACUGCGUCAUAGAUUGGACCUUGCUUUUUACCUCUAUUUUAAAAAUUUUCCUCUUCACAAAUAUAGGAGAAAGAGAAGAAAAAGAGAACUAGUUGAUUCUUUUUUUGCACCCUUUUAAAAAAUGGGUGGUGGUAAAAGAUAUUGUAUGUUUUUCUAAAGACUCAAGUUACUAGACUUGAGAAAGUUAGCUUUUGUUUUCUAUUGAACAGAUUAUAAGGAGAGAAGGAUUGAAAGAAAUGUGUCAAAUGUAAAAUGAUCCUCUUGUUAGGGUGUUGAGUUAGAAUGAAGAAGAAGGACUGGGAAUUCAGGAGAUAGCUUCUAAGUUAGGCAUUAGUCCCAUUCCCCCCGCCCCUUUCAUCCUGUGUCUUAGAAAAAAAAGAAUCUGAACAAUGAAGAGCCAGGCAGGACCGGUCAUGCAAAUAAAGAAAGGGCUCAUUCUACAACUUAAUUUGGUUUCAACAUAACCUCAGUGAAACCACAAAAGACUUAUGUAACCUGAAAUUUCUCUUGCCUGGGGCUUGUAGGUCCCUAGUUCAAUGGAACCUGGAGAAAAUCCUAGAAUUCUAAUGUUAUCUUGGUCAGUCCCCACAGUCAUCUGUUUACCAUGACAUGACUAAAACAAAGCAUGAACGUCAAAGAGUUUCCUGGGUUGGUCAGCGGUGGCUUAUUCUUUGUUUUCCAGUCUUCUCAUUCAUCAUCAUCAUCAUCAUCACUUAACUCUAUUUAGGACUUCUACCAUCUAGCCACAAAGUGCCUUGUUGUUGGAUUACUUGAAGACUGUGAAGGCUGCAAAGUAGUUAUUUGAAUCUUACUUCCUUUAAACUCACCUUACGAUGAAAGCAAAUAGUUUGCUUAGCUGUUUGUUAGUAUUUUCUGUGGUUAUAUGUGAGUGGUACUGUUUUGCCAAAUAUUAAGGUUAAUCUAAUAUCAUUUUGGAGCUUUGCCUAAAUCAUAGACAGUGCCCUUGUACUAAUUUAUUUCUGCUAACAUUGGACUUCCUUGGCCUAGAAGGUUAAAGGAGCCCACGAGGGAACCUCAAAAGUCUUCUUGACUAGGAGGUAUUCCUUAAAAAAAUUAAAUGGAUCAAGUAAGAUUGAUUAAAAAAAAUAAUCCUGUGGUUUUAUUUUUGUUGAUACACAAUUCAUAAUUAUCCAGAAGUGAUAAGCAAAUUUGUGUUUCAUCGUAUUGCACCUUAAAAAAGGGAUUUUUACCUAAGUUGCUGUAGCCUGAAUUUUCGUACCAGCUGAGCGAUGAAUGGGAAUCUGCCUGGCUUAGGAAGUACAGUAAAAUUAUAGGUAAGGGGAUUGCGGGGUUUGGACAUCUUGUCGUUACGGGUAGCAAAAAACCUGUAUUUCCCUAUGCCAUUCUACUACCUAUUACAACUCAAUAUCCUAGUAUUAAAGAGGAAAGGAUUUUUACUGGGACAAGAGGCUGCAAAGGGUGCCGUGGCCUAAACUUGACUGGGGGAGGGAUAACAGCUGGUGCUCUCAUUUUUGAGCUCAUACUUUGUGCCAGGUAUUGUGUUAAGGGCUUUACAAACAUUACCUCUAAAACUUAGCCCCCCCCAAAAAAACAAAGGCGGGUAUAAUUAGCCUCAUUUUACAGGAAGAUGAUCCCUGAAAAGGGGUGGGGGAGGGGCAGAGUUCUUCUGACUGUGAGGACUUUCAUUCUGCAAUGACUGGGAUAAAUUUUCCUGAACUUACUAGAAGUCAUGAAGCAAAAGGUACAGGGCCUGACAAAGAAAUGAUAGGUUUUUAGAAAAAAAAAUUUUUUUUUUUUUUUGUGUGUACUAAUAGUUAAACCCAUUGCUGACCAAUUGAUUUUGACUCAUGGAGACUCUAUAGCAACCUUAUAGGGCAGAGUAAAACUGCCUACAUAGGGUUUCCAAGGAGUGGCUGAUGGAUUCCAACUGCCAACGUUUUGGUUAGCAGUCAUAGUUCUUAACCACUGAGUCACGAGGGCUCCAUACCAAUAGUUGAGGAUUGUGAAAUUACCAGAGUUUCCCGAUUGUGAAAUUUGUACCUACUAAAUAAACCAAAAAACAUACCUAUUGCCACCGAGUCAAUUUCAACUCACAGUGACCCUAUAGGGCAGUAGAACUGCCCCAAAGGAUUUCCAGGGAGCAGCUGGUGAAUUUGAAUUGCUGAUCUCUUGGUUAGCAGUCAAAGGCUUAACCACUGUGCCAUCGGGGCUCCACCUACUACAUAUGUACCUAUAUAUGUCUUUACUUUGUUUAGAUGGUUAACUCAUUAAGUAUUCAUUGGGGACCUACCAUGUUCAUAGCAUUUUGCUAAAGUAGGGGACUUCCAUUAGUUAUUUCUGAUCAAAUAAUUUUGUGAGUUUUCUCCUUUGUCUGGAAACUCUUAUUCAUGCUUCAAGAAGUAGCUCAGACUUCACAUCCUCUUUGAAGCCCUCCCUGGACCCACUGAAGAGACAUUAAUGAACCCUGGUAUACAUUCAUGUCUGUACUGUUUCUAUUUGGAGUUACUGGGUUGCUUAAAUAGUUAAGUGCUCGACUACUAGCCAAAAGGUUGACUGUUUGGAUUCACCCAGAGGUGUCUUGGAAGAAAGGCCUGGCAAUCUGCUUCCAAAAGAUCACAGCCUUGAAAAACCUAUGGAAUGAAGUUCUUAUUCUGCAACACAUGGGGUUGCCAUGAGUUGGAAUUGACUUAAUAGCAACUGGCUAUUUUUUGCUAUAAAUGUCUGUAGUGCUUCUACUAAAGAGCUCUGGUGGCACAAUGGUUAUACACUUGGCUGCGAACUGAAAGGCUGGCAGUUUGAAUCCACCUGGUGGCUCUAUGUGUGAAAGACCUGAUGAUCUGCUUCUGUAAGUACUAUAGCCAAGAAAACCUAUGGGGCAGUUUACUCUGUCACAUGGGGUUGCUAUGAGUCAGAAUUGACUCAAAGGCACCCAACGACAACAGUAUUUCUGUUAAAGAACUGAUCACUGACCAUGCUUUUUUGUUAAUAUUUCUGUCCCCUCCUACUAGACUGUGAAACUGGAAAUUCUACUCCAGCAGGGUCUGGUUCUUUUUCACGCCAUACCUCCUCUAAUCCUGCCCCAAUUCCACAGUGGUUAUGUCAGUCUGACACAUAAUGUGGGGAAGUGAAUUAAUAUGGCCCUUCUAGCCAUAGUCUUUGUGACUCACACACAAUGAUUGAGUGGCACUAUGGAAAUAAGGUGCCUGUGGUCCAUUAAGUGAAUUGGACAGCUUGCUGAUAAUGCAAAUGAGGUACAUGCCACCCUUGUGAGGGCGGGGCCUUGCAAAUAAGGAGUAUGGAACUCUAAGAAGGGGAUUGGUCAGUUUUGCCAUCUUAAUGUAGGCUUAAAGGGAUCCAAUUCCAGAAGCAAAAAGGGGGACCUCACUAUCAUCAAGAAAGAAGAACCAGGACUGGAGCACAUCUUUUACACCUGGGUUCCCUGUGCUGAGAACCCCCUAGGCUCAGGAAACAAAGGGAGCUGUAACAUGGAAGACAGCAAGAGAUGGCGGUGCCACAGUAGCAAAAGCGAUAGUAGCAUGAGAUGGCAGCAACCAGGAGACUGGUGCAAGACAGCUGUGUUGGUAUUUGCAGUCUCUGAGAAGGCUCUGAGCGGGGCCCAAUGGCAGAAGGCGAGAAGAAGUUGCCCGAAUUGACAACUGUAUCCUGGGUUGUUUCCGUUACUUCUAAGUCAUUCCUGACUCCAAGUUGUACCCUGGCACUUCCCUAAUAAACCACAUAACUGUGAGUAUGGUUUGUGAGUUCCGUAUGGCCAUUACAAUGAAUUAUUGAACACAGCAGAGAAAUAGAGAGUGCCGUGGUAGGGAUGGCUGGUGUCAGAAUUGGUAAGAAGGUUAGAGAGAAAAGGCAUGUCUGACUUCCACUUCAUAGGAAUCAGUCUUGGGCUGUUGAUGAUGCUGAUUCUCCCCCCUUGUGUAUCUAGACAAGAUCUGACAUUACCUUACCAUUUUUACACAUAAUGGCUGUGCUUAAUACACAAAUGAAUGUAUACCAGCGAUUCUGGGUGAAGCAGGAGGUUACUGUCCUUCAAACUCACUCAAAAUUACAAGAGGUAUGACUUACUGGGCACCUGCUACUGGAUAUUUGUGGGGUUUAGAGUUAACUUUACCCAAAGAAUUUGGUCUUUGUUCUUGGUUCCUGAGAGAUAACCUCUAAAACCUUGGAAAUUCUCUAGUAAUUGAAGUGUCUUUGAUGAGCCUCCAGGCCACACCUGAGGGUUUAUGCUAAUGAGUCACUGAGUGAUAUCAGCUGAUUUCAGGGAGGGGCGGGCAUGGUUCAAUUAAUUGGGAUUAUGUAAUGAGGCCCUGGUACGGGCUCUGGACAUGGAAGCUCUAUGGGCUUCCUGGUUGGUAAAGACAUGGAUGUAUGUGGGAGGGUGUGUCCCUUUUUGGGACAAGGAUGUUGCACAUUGGGAAGCCUCCCAGACCUUGCCUUAUGUGUCUCUUCAUUUGUGUCCUUUUUUUCUGUAAUACAACUGUUGUUACAAGUAUAACACUUUCCCUGAGUUUUGUGAGUCAUUUUAGUGAAAAUUGAACUUUAGGGAGAAGUGGAGCCAGUGGUGGAUUUGAAUCACUGACCUUUUGGCUAGCAGCUGAGCACUUAACCACUGCACCACCAGGGAUCCCUGUUAGUAUUUAGUAGGAGAGAAAAUGUCUCUGUAUCUUUCCAUCUGGUAAUAAUCGAUACACUCAGCAUCCACCAAAGUUUUAGGUAUCCUAAAGAGGAGAGCACACCCAGGGUCUGAAACGUCUUUACAGCUCAAGACUAUAGGCUCAAGAGAGACCAGGAAAAUGCCCGAGUGGCUGGUGUAUGUGGCAGGCAGAUAGAUCAGAGUGUUGUUCUGAUAAACACUAUCCCUGGAAAAUUCCAGGUAAGUUCUGAAUCUCUCAAAAGAAAGACAUUUGCAGCCUGGAAGUUAAACCAGGAAGACAGAAGGCCUGUGUGGAAGAGUCCCUUCUAGAUGGAGGAUAUUCAGUCCUGGAGAUUGUGAACUCCCUUUCAGAUAAAAAGUUACCCAGGAUGGGGAUGACUUGCUUCACCAGCAUACCUUGCUUACAGUGUGUAGUGCUCAAAAGAUCUGCUCAAUAAAUGUGUGUUGAUGAGGUCCUAUCCAUUGUCAUAGAGAUCAGCUGGAGCCAUAUCCCAAAAGAAUACACUGUGGUUAAAAAAUAAACUAUUCUAGAUUUGAAAAUGAGAUAUAGGAUAUGCCCAGCAAGGUUGAGAAGAGAAAUUUUGGGAAAUCAGGAUAUCAGCAUAAAAAUCUAGACAUCAUUUUUUUGAAGGGACUGUAAUAGCACAAGGAACAAGCAACAUGGCUUUAUUAAUAGCUAGUGAAAUGGCAGGGCAUACACUUCAUAGAAUAGCUCCAUAUGGUGAGAGCUGAAAGACUACAUCUUUUAAUACCACACCUUCCCCAGCAGCUAAAGUGAUAGCCUUGGAGUGAAGAGCUGCCAAUAGCACACUGCAAAAUGACAAGAGCCCCACAGCACAUUCAACUGCUAGAUUAUAUUCAUGCUCUGCACACAGAGCAGGAAAAUCCCACUUAUGAUGUGAUUGUGCACACGUGUUCUGUGUGUUUGAAGCUCAGCCUACUGCUUGAGCUUCUGCAGCUAAAAUCGAAUAGAACUGGGCAUGUGUCUGAAGGCAGCAAAGGAAAUACAAGGAGAACUGAGAUUUCUCAUAAACCAGCCAUAAAUGGUCAUUCUCCUUAUCAAACUUAGUCAUCUAUUUAGCUCAUAUAUUUCUUUGAAGCAGUAAAAAUAUUUCAAGUAUCUCAGAAGUGCUGAGCAAAGCAUUAUAUUUUUUUGGAAUCGAGAGUGCUAAGAUUAUUGCAUUGUGUGAAUGUGACACUAACUUUAGCAUGUUGGCUUCAAAAGUUCAUUAUAUAAAUAAUAUGAAAUUAGAGAUAAGACCUGUUAAGAAAUACUGAUAUUCUCACUCCUAAGAGAUAACCAGUCUUAACAUUUGAAAAACAUAUUUAUGGACCCACAAAAAUGGGCUUAUGCUGUGAAUAUUGUUUUAUAACAUUUUUCAUUUAUAAAUGUAUUGGGGCCAAAUCUCCAUGCCAAUACAAUUUUUAAUUUAUUAAAAUAAAAAUACCUAUAGAAAAGUACACAUACUGUAUUUUAUCAAUGCAUAUUUUUUUUUUGCUGAGAACAAAUUUGAUUUUUAUUUUAUUUAUUUUAUCUUUU